rnacentral:lncRNA from 1 species
ACCGUUUCACUCGCUUCUGUUCAAAAAAGUACCAAAUCGACACACUUCUGUAGUCUUCGGCAUCUGCAUUUUCAUUGACUGAAGACAUGGAGAAGAGGAAGAGUAAAAACAUACAAAAGAGAAGGAAGAAGAAAGUGUAUCUUCAUGGAUCUUGAAGUUGGAUGAAGACAUUGUUAAGAGCAAAUCUAGAAAUCUGAAAAGUUUGGUUGAAAAUGAAAAAACACAGUUUGGAGUUGGUAUGGGAGUC